rnacentral:lncRNA from 1 species
GAUCAAUAUAGUUGGGGUGCAGAUACAGGCCUUCCCCUAGGGAAACACUUGCAUCAGUAUUAGUGAGAGACCAAGUACACAUCUGAAGCAUUCCUGUGCUUUCUGUCCACUUGUCAGGUGAAGUUGCCACGUAUGACUGUCCAUCAGCCAGGAGAUGAACCCCCACCCGUGAGGCAGUGACUCAAGGUGCAAGGGAGUCCGGCAAGAAGUGUGGCGCACCCGAGUUGCUGCCACUGCUUUUUGGAUCACCCAGCACGGUGAAGUUGCCACGUAUGACUGUCCAUCAGCCAGG